UACGUAGGGUGCGAGCGUUAAUCGGAAUUACUGGGCGUAAAGCGUGCGCAGGCGGUAAGUUAAGUCUGAUGUGAAAGCCCCGGGCUCAACCCGGGAAGUGCACUCGAUACUGCCAAGCUAGAGUAUCGGAGAGGUUGGUGGAAUUCUCGGUGUAGAGGUGAAAUUCGUAGAUAUCGAGAGGAACACCGGUGGCGAAGGCGGCCAACUGGACGAAUACUGACGCUGAGACUCGAAAGCGUGGGGAGCAAACAGG
rnacentral:rRNA from 1 species